rnacentral:lncRNA from 1 species
CUAGACUGUGGGCACUUGCAUUAUUCAACAUCUGCAUGACCGCUUGUUUUGUACCGGAAAUGUUUUGGUUUUUAAUGGAAGAGGGAGUUUCUGCAGCCAUCAUGUGCAGCUCAAGAUCUGCUAUUUGUUUUCUUCUUCAACCUCAAAUCUCGAUUAAUUGUUUUUAUCCCAAAAAAAAAAAAAUUGUUCAUGGUGUUUGAGUAUGCUGAGAUUGAUGGAUGAAGAACAGCUUUAACCACUUUAUGGUCUUUUUUUUCUUUUUCAGGUGGUGAUGAAGAUUGGGGAAACAACUUCGCUGAGAGAGAGGCAUGCACUAUCAAGAAAAGUAAAACAGGUUCAGCAUCAGGCACCACCCACCCACUAUUGCUUUGGACCACAACAAAUAUAAAUUUACAAAAAAAAAAAUUCUAAAAUUUCUUUUGCUGCUGAAAGAUUUAAUAUUUUUCCCCAAUAUAUUUUUAAAAAAAUUCUCUAAUCUUUCACUUGGAUGCACAGAGAGAUCAAGCAGGAGGAGUUCUGAUCGAGUUCGGCGAGGAAAGAUUGACCAUGAAGCCUCACAAGUUACGGACGUGAAUAAUUACAAGUAUGCUGCAUAUGCUCUAGUCUUAUUCUCCUGGACAAUUUAUAUCAUUGAAACAGCUGUUCUUAGUCCUUCUUUUUACUUUUCACGUGGGCACAGGAUUUUUGUAGCUACAUGGAAUGUGGCUGGAAAAUCCCCUCCAAGUUAUUUGAAUCUUGAAGAUUGGCUUCAGACCUCACCACCUGCUGACAUUUAUGUUCUUGGGUAUGCCCAAUUAAUCAAAAAUUUUUUUUUCCUCACUCAUUUGUUUGAACUCUGUGAACGUAAGUAUAACAGAAGAAGCCUCAUUCAUCCCUUUGGCAUUCAGGUUUCAAGAGAUUGUUCCUUUAAAUGCUGGUAAUGUUUUGGGCACAGAAAACAAUGGUCCUGCUAGAAAAUGGCUAGCUCUUAUUAGGAAGACACUAAAUAGUCUUCCUGGCACUAGUGGUGGUUGCCAUACUCCUUCCCCAACACCUGAUCCCAUUGUAGUAACAAUAAUUAAUAAUAACUAAAAUAAUAAAGUUAAUAAAAUUUAAUAAUAAUAAUAACUUUAUUAUUUUAGUUAUUAUUAAUUAUUGUUAAUAUUAUUUUUAAUAAUAAUAAUAUUUUUAAUAAUAAUAAUAAUAGUAAUAAUAACAACAAUAAUGAUAAUAUUGUUAAUAAUGAUAAAUUAAUUAUUAAUACUAUGGGUAUUUUGGUAAAUUGAUUCUCAUUCAUAUUCCUCAUUCCCAUUUAUUUUGCCAAGUAAACACAUCAAUGGCAUUCCAGCACAUUUAAUUCCCAUUUAUUUUUGUCAAAUAAACAUUGAAAUCUUAUUCCUAUUCCUCAUUCUCAUUCCAGUCUAUUCCCAUUCUUAGCUCAUUCACAUUCCACCUCAUUCCCAUUUCAUGAAAUAAACACACCAUAAAAGUAUUAUCUUACUGGUAACCCAUGCCCGCACAAUGCUCAGGUUCUAAAAUAAUUUGGAGAAUGCUACAGUAGUCCCUCAAUGUGUAUGAGCUACUCAAACAUAAACAUGUUUACUUUGGUGCACUUAAUUCAUCAAAAACAAGCUGCAAAUCCAAAUGCGAGAUAUAUUUGUGAUUAACACUAAAAAGUGUAUGUGUAAUAAGGAUAAAAUUAUUAAUUUUUUACUUAAAGUGUUGAUUAAUGCGCGCAUAACUUAUAAAUUAUAUGAAUGCUCCCCAAAUAAAUUUUUGUGUUAAAUUAAUUCACAAUAUGUUAAUUUUUACCUUAUAAAUAUUUUUCAAGAAUAAAUUGGAAUUGAAAGCGGGAACAAAGAAGGACUACUGGAGCGAUUUGGAAGCAUUAUUGAGGAGAUGAAAAUACAUAAAUAAUAAUAAAAAAAAGAACAAAAAUCGAAUUGUUUGGCUUCUCAUUAUGGUCAAGUGGCCAAUUACACAUUUCAAUGUGUGUAUAUAUAUAUAUAAAAAAAAAAAAAAAAAUAAUAAUAAUAAUAAUAAAAAAUAAAUAAAUAAAUAAUGCCUCAGAGGGACGGAGAGAGAGAAAGAGAGAGGCUCUUAUUAUUAUUAUUAUUAUUAAUAAGCUCUCUCCAGCAGCACUUUAUUCUCUUGAAAUUGGAUACUUUUGCUCUGUACCGGAACGAGGUUUUAAUUUUAUCAAAUUAAAAUAUAAGACUAAUACUAUUGACUGCCAUUACUAUAUAAUCUCACAAGUCUAGCUCUAUGCCCUUUUUCUUUUAUGUGUAAUAUGUCCUACAUUGUCCUGUUCUACUAUCAGAAUCUCAUUGUCUUGCUUCCACGCAUCAGUUGUAGACUUGUAGUCUUUCUUUCUUCAUCAUUUCCGUUUCAGUUCCCCUCGACUCAACAAACAAAAACACGUACUCAGUGAAAGAAUACAAAAACGAACAAACCCAACUGGGCACUUUGCAUUUUUUCUUUUUUUACCUUCGAAAAAUAACUGUAUAACGUGCCCAGAAACUAGAGAUUGUCUUGGCUUCCUCAAUUCUUUCCUGUUCAUUCCUUGAGUCAACAAAAUAUUUUACUCAUUUCGUGCUUAAAACCAGCACUCUUGGUUCUACCGAGAGAAAGGAAACAAACCCAGGAGUUGAAGUUAAUUUUUUUUUUUAAAAAAAACUUGGCAGUUUGUUUUUAAUUGCUGUUCUUGUUCGGUCGUCUUCAUUCACAUUCCCUUUCGAGAAAAAUUAAUCCAGCUGAAAAAAACAGCAGUUUGUUAAUUACAUCAGGAUUAGCUGUAUGAAGUUUUGAAACAAUGAGAGAUGGGAACUCCAAGAAAAGCAAGGUUUAUUUGUCUUGAUAAAAUGCCAAAACUUCUCUGAUAUCCAUUUACAUUUUGUUAUGAGAUUACUGAUUCUGUUUUUCUCUUCUUUUUUUGUUCCCUUCUUGAAGCUUUCGUGGCCAAAAACUCUGGUCAAAAAGUGGUUUAAUAUCAAGAACAGGGCAGAGGACUUUCAAGCAGAUGAUGAUGAUUAUGAGGGUGAUUAAUUUGUCUAUAUCCUCUUCAAUUUGGGUGGUUUAGGUGCCAAUUUGGGUUCUGGGAUUGUAAAUUUGUAGCUUUCAUAUUUUGAAAAAAAUAAAAAAUGGGUUUUUUUUUACAACUAAGUUACUGGUGUUGGAUUCUUCUAGACUGUGGGCACUUGCAUUAUUCAACAUCUGCAUGACCGCUUGUUUUGUACCGGAAAUGUUUUGGUUUUUAAUGGAAGAGGGAGUUUCUGCAGCCAUCAUGUGCAGCUCAAGAUCUGCUAUUUGUUUUCUUCUUCAACCUCAAAUCUCGAUUAAUUGUUUUUAUCCCAAAAAAAAAAAAAUUGUUCAUGGUGUUUGAGUAUGCUGAGAUUGAUGGAUGAAGAACAGCUUUAACCACUUUAU